rnacentral:rRNA from 1 species
AUUGAACGCUGGCGGCAUGCCUUACACAUGCAAGUCGAACGGCAGCACGGGAGCAAUCCUGGUGGCGAGUGGCGAACGGGUGAGUAAUAUAUCGGAACGUGCCCAGUCGUGGGGGAUAACGCAGCGAAAGUUGUGCUAAUACCGCAUACGAUCUAUGGAUGAAAGCGGGGGAUCGCAAGACCUCGCGCGAUUGGAGCGGCCGAUGUCAGAUUAGGUAGUUGGUGGGGUAAAGGCUCACCAAGCCAACGAUCUGUAGCUGGUCUGAGAGGACGACCAGCCACACUGGAACUGAGACACGGUCCAGACUCCUACGGGAGGCAGCAGUGGGGAAUUUUGGACAAUGGGCGCAAGCCUGAUCCAGCCAUUCCGCGUGCAGGAUGAAGGCCUUCGGGUUGUAAACUGCUUUUGUACGGUAACGAAACGGCGAGCUCUAAUACAGUUUGCUAAUGACGGUACCGUAAGAAUAAGCACCGGCUAACUACGUGCC